CGGCCUCCACAGAAAGGGCGUGUCCGUGGGCGAAGGUGCCCCCGAAAGCCUGCGGAAGCGCGUGACUUCGCGAAUCCCGGGCCCGGGGCGGUGCCAAAGCCCCACCCCCGGCCGGCCGCGCCGCUUAGCAGUCGCACUUGGCCGCCAAGCUGGGGAAGGGGCGGGGGCCUGGGGGCUGGGUCCCCGCGGAACUUCCAGAUCGGAAGUGUGGCGGGUCUCUCAGGAACGCAUAUUUUCUUUUCCGAUUCUCCGAGGAGGGGUGGAGAAACAGGAUGGGAACCGGAUUGGCUGCAGUGUGGCACAAACCUGGAAGCUUCUUGAAAGAGGUUGGGGCAGGCAGUGACUGUUCAGACGUCCAGUCUCUUUGGGACACCUCUUCAGCGCUGUCUUCCCUGCCUCUGCCUUUAGGACGAGUCUCAAACAUCAACAAACUCAAGGCACGUCCCCCUCUCAGGUCAGCUGCGAAGGGACGGGAGCAAGAGAGAACCUCUCCCUCCUUCUACUUCCAGUUUUUCUGUGUUUGUUUGUUUGUUCCAAAUAUUAAUGGACGAUGAAACAGCACGGAUUUUUCACCUCCUAGAGAAGAGGAAGCCAUGGCCACCAACCCCCUCAAACAUGCACUCUUGGGGACAAUCCUGGGGAACCUGGGGACAAUCGGACUUGGCAGGAGUUGGCAUGUCCAAGAUGGGGCUGGAAGGAUGACCCGGAGUGGAAGGCGUGGGCCAGGGCUCCAGGUCUCAGCUCUCCCGGCGUCGGACCACACAGCUUUGCCACCUUUGCACCUGGCCUUUCCCUCUUGUGAGCCAUCUGGGACCGUCCCAUCGAGGCGCUUCAAAGGUGGGAGAACUGAGUGCUGGGGACUAGAACGUACCGGGCGCACAGAAGAUUCCACUAGCGCGGCCAAACACUAAGCAGGUUUCCUCCCUGCGUGGUGAUCGUUGGUUAUGCACGGGCUGCGCAAGAAGACUAAAUUCCUGAUAAGUGGAAACUGCAGGAGAAAAAUCUUAAACUUAGAGGCCUGAGAAGCUCUCCCUCUCGUCGCUCUGGGACCGCUCUAAGCUGAGCUUACCUUCUCCCCCUGGAGGACAGGCCUUUCCCAGGAACGAAGUGAAUGUGCCCCACUGGGCUCUUGCCACAAGAGCAGUCUGAACCCUGGAGAGACUGACACCGAGGUGACUUCAAGGAGACAGGCACACUCUCAUGCUUCACCAUCUAGGGUUUCGCCUUUCUUCUAACAUUUAGGAUUCCCAGUGAAGGGUACUCCACACACACCCUCUCCCUACCCCUAAUCCCACUCCAUUGUGUCUGAUCCCACAAUUACUCCCAGGUUAUCUCUACUCAGAGCUUUUGCGCUCAGUGAACGUUGUUGUCUGCAGGGAAAACGGGUGGAGCCCUUCUCGGAAGCUCCCGGGGGCGAGUCCAUUUUAAGAAUUAGUUGAAGUAGGAAAGAAAACACAGAUGCUGUCUUCGCAUUCGACAUUUUAUCAUCAGCAAGAGAAUAUGUAACUCCUGUUCUUUCCUUCAUUGUUCCAUGAAUUACCUUCUUUCUCUAGGGAUCCACCAGUUGGUGAUUUGGGGCUUUUAAAUAUUGUGCUUGUUAUGUGUUUGAAAAAAUGCAAUAUGUCUACUGGUGGCAUUGUUUCAUUGGGAAAUUAGAAAAGUAGAGAGAAGCUACAUACUCUAGUUCUUAGGUGGUCCCUGGAAAGUUGGCCUCAUGCUGGUUGGUUAAAUAGUAAGUGUUUAGGAUUUGAAAGGAGGAAAGAGAGCCGAAGGCCUGGUGACAGUUUGUGAGAAGCAGAAGAUGUAGUAAUCUGGCAUUUGUUGAGGGGAUGAGGAAGAACUUUUGAAAUAUAAGCUAUUCUAUUCAGUUUUUUGCAAAUUUAUUGUAGUCGCUUCAUGGAAGAAUAAUAAUGUUUAGAAUAGAAUAAUUGCAAAUAAAUGCUAGUGAUGAAAUCUAAAGGAAACCUCUACUCAUAGUUAACAGAAAGUAUUUUGAUUGUUUUUGUUUAAAUACUUACCUCAUUGCUUCCUUUCCUUUGCAGAAUUAUUUUCCUAUGAAAGUUUCCAUUAGGUGUCAGUCUGACUGAACUGGUUCUUAUUUAAGUUUCGGGGGGGGGGAAUGUUCCAUCAUCAGACCUUUUAAGAUAAGAAAGUGGGAAAAAUUAAAACUUUAUUAAAUUGAAAUUACUGGAGUUAAUUUUUCUUGUUACAAGGCAGCUUUUUUCUUCCCAGAAAAAAAUAAUGUUAAACUACAUCACCACUAGUCAAUUAUUGCUUUUGCCUUGUCACUGUUAUAGCCAAGAUUAAAGAAGCAUAAAACUCUUGUUUGUGCUUUUCAUGCUAGAUCCAAGUAGUAUUAAGUAAUCAUAAUUUUUGGAUGGCUUUUCCAUUGAUGUCCAAAUACUAGAAGGGUAAGCAGCCUUUUCUAAUAUUUGUUUUGCUUUACAAAGGUGAUAGAAAGUCUUCCUGGAAAAAAGAGAACAUGGAUUCAGCUUAGAUUGUCCAUUUGACAAUACUGAGGGCAUAGUAAAGGAGGAGGGAGACAAAUUGUGAAAAUUACUUUUGUCCACUAGUUUUGCUUUAAUAAAGCCUGCCUAAAUACUCAGAAUCUAUGGACAUAAUUUAUGAUGUAUAGAUGGAAGAUCUUAGGGUGCCCACUGAAAUUUAUAUAAUGUCUAUAAAAGGUCAAUUUUCUACUGUAAUAUUCAUUAAUAAGUAUAAGAAACACCAUCUUGAAUGAUCAUUUGCUACUGAGUCUCAAGUAAGUAGUUUUAUAGAAACUGCAUUUUUCAAAAAAUUUGCUUAUUUCAUUCUUUGUAUUUGUGAAUCCUGUUCUGAUGUUGUUGCUUGAAUAGAAUUGCAGGCAGUGGUGGUAUUCAUGGUUAAAAAUCCAUAGAGCAUCAUGACAACCCCAUGAACUUUCUCUGGGGCCAUUGUGAGCCCUAGAAUGAUGUGGUUCUUGGUGUCACCGCAGUGCCAAUCUAGAGCCAGAACAGGGAUUCCAGUGAAAGUCCAAGCAAAGGCAAGCAAUGACGAAGUAGCAUUUUGAUGGAAGGAAUAUUCCACAAACCCUAUUAUCAAUUUUUGUCUUAUUAUAUUCCAUAUUAGUAAUGAUAAAUUUUCAAAUAUAAAAAUAGACAAUGAAGGUAGAGAUGAUGGAUAUAUUGGGAAACAUUUUUGUGUUUUAUAGGACAGAAAAGAAGUACUAAGGACACAGAAGGAAAGACAGCAUAAGGCCAUCACAAUUGUUCACCAUCUUGUCAAUUCUGUACAGGUGCAGCUACCAUUGUAUCACAGAAAUGACAGAAUGAUGUUCUUACCAUGUUGGAAAGUAGUAUAUUUGGCAUAGGAGACUUACUAUUUAAAAGUAAAUUUCUUUUGGAUAUAUUUUCAGUAAGAAGGAAAAAUAUAAUAAUGACAUCAGAAUAUUUAAAGACAAAUUAUUUCAUUUAGCUAUUGAAUUUAGUUAUUGGUAGCUAUACAACUAUAAACACAAGUGCUAAAUAGAUUUUAAGCAAAUGGUUUUGUAGUACAAUUUGUUUUUUAAAUGUUUUCAGAUUUUUUAAAUCAUGACUUAUAAGUCUUGCAUUUAAGUCUGGAAAACAUUUUACAUGAGUGUAUAAAAUAAACAUUUUAGUUGCAGAAACACUGCAGUUCAUCCAAAAAACAUAAGCUAAAAAAGAUACACUACAAAAUUUUAAAUUUCUCAAAAUGUGUUUAUUACCCAGUAAUUCGUUGAGUUUCUUGAGUGCAGCCUAACAAUAAAAUCAGUGUAUCUGCAUGUUUGUAUUGUUGACCAGCUUAAAAAUUUGUUACUAAGUAUAUUUUGUGAGUUCUGAGUUUUGUUGAGCUAAGCAAGGCAGUCUGAUUUUUCACCCAGCUAAAACAUUGUAAUAUAUAUGCAAGGGUAAAGACAAUAUUUCAUUUGCUUUGUUUGUGGAAAAGCCCUUUGAGACUCAUAGUAUUUUAAGAUAUAUACAUAUAUACCAGACCAAACUAGAACUAAAAGUUUAAAACCUCUGAGUUCUAAAACAUGAAGUUCACAGGAUUUUAAAUAAGGGUUAUUGCAUUUAUUUUAUUAAUUUAAAGCCAAUAUUGAAUAUCAUUCAAUUAAAUUUCAAACUAAAAAAGACAUAUUGAUGUAAUAUAUUAUUACUAUGUUUUCGGUUCAAAUCCAAUUUAUAUUAUAAUAUGCUUUUUUAAAAGUUGACAAAUUAUGUUACAAUAGUGACAUAAUGGCAUAAUUUGAAAGUAGUGUCUAUUUGUAAACUUGAAUGAAAUGUGUGCUUUUUGGAAACACUUUUGCUGAAAAGAUUAUUUUUAUAAAAAUGAUACAUUUAAUUGGAAAAUUGGCAUUUUUUUUUUGCAAUUUUGUUUUUAAAAUUUGUAUUCAAUACAGGAAUGAGUAUUAAUUGAAGUCUACAUUUGUCUCUCUAAGCUAGUGUAGUCAAUUUCAAGAACUGGUUCAAACAAGUCUCAAGAUAAACUAAAAAUUACUUAUUUAAAAUAUGUUUUAUAUAUCUGCCAAAUGGUCCAUUAGUUUUUGGACUACAAGAGAAUGAAUGAAUUUCAUGCCUACUAUUCUGUCAGAAGCAGAUAAUGAGGAAAAAAUCUUUUUCUUUGUAAAAGAAAUAUAUCAUGAUAAAACAUAUAUCCUGGAUUCUUCUACAGAUAACUAUACAUGAAUUAAAUAGAAUGAUUAUGUAUUCAGUUUCAUCUACUUUUUUCAUAACUGUUAUUUAUAUAAGCUUUGGUGUUUACUAAGACAAAGAAAAUUAGAGAAUUGAGGCCGCUAUACAGAAAAAUCUUAAAUUUCAUUUUGUCCCUCAAUUACAUGAUACUUAGGGAGAGAGAGUAUAUCCUGUGGUGGAAAGAACUUUGGAGUAAGACUGGAAAAUCUAAUUUUGAGUACAGAUAGUGUUGUGAACUAUGACAAUGGACCUGUCACACAGCUUGCCUGGUCUUCAGUUGUCUCAUCCACAAAAUGGGCUAGAUUUAAAUUCACAUAAGGCCUUUCUACUUCUUUAGGAUUCCAUUUCAAGGAAAGCCUUUUUUUUUUUUUUUUGGUCUGAAUUCUACUCUACAUUUCAUGUAAAGAUGGUGUGUCAAUUGGUAUCACAGUAAGAUAGAAGCUUUUACAUAGUAUUCGCAAACAUUUUGUCUUGGUAUCAAACAAGAAAAUGGUCUUUAAGAUUUUUACUUAAAUUCUUAAAGCAUGAAGCACAUGGAAAUAUUUGUUGCUUUUUCACACUUCACUUUUUAUUUGAAGCUUUGUAGAGAAAAAAGCCCCAAAAGAAUGAUUUAUGAAUUCAUUCUAAUGUGUUAUCAUGGGAGGACAUGUAUAUGUGUAUCUGUAUAAUAAAUCUGAAGCUCCUCAAACCAUAUAUCUAUCUUCAUAAGCAUUUUAGUCUAAUGAGGCCAGAUCAUAAUGCUAUUCAAAGUUGAUAUACAUGAUUGUAGUGGAUAAAGAAUGAAUAUGAACACUUGGCCUCUAAAAAUAUUUACUCCUUGUAUAAAUGUUUAUGCUAUUAAAUUCAAUUAUAAUAUUUGGAAGAGCAGGAAAAUUCCUGUUUUUUCCCCCCAUUCUGUUAAAAGGAGCAUUAAUUGUCUAGUAUAUUUAAUUCUUCUAAAAUGGUUUAGUCUUUUAAAGUAUCCAGUUCAGUGUUUGGCACAUAGUAGGUGCUCAAAAUAUUUAUUAAUUUUGUGAAAGCAAUGAUAUCCUUUUAGGACAUAUGUUAAUAUAAAUUUUACAUUUUUUCAUAAUUUUUAAAGUCACUAUUAUAUAAAAUGAUUGUUGCACUGCAUAUAUUUAAGCUUAACUUAAUGUUAACAUAAAUUUUAAAUCUCAAAUUUGUUUACUAGUAGUGUAGUUAUCCUUUGCCAGGAAGGAAAAUACAUUCUCUCUACUUGAUAUAACUUUUAAAUAAUGGAACAAUCCAUGAGAACAUUGCUUUCAAGCUAGUAUUCUUUUUGAAACUCCAAGUAGCUGUUUAAUCUACUAUUGAAAUAGAAUAAUUUUACUCCAUGUGAAUGUUACCUAAGGUAUUUUAUUUAACAUUUAAUGUAUAAAUAUUUGUAAGAAUUUAUAUAGUUUCAAAAAGUAAUCAGUGGAAAUGCACUUUAUGCAAUAUAAUAGUUACUGUGAUAGGUAUGCUUUUAAAGCUAAAGAUCUGUGUAUUUUUUUUUAUUUUUUAAAAUUAUUUACUAGGAAAGCAGGCCAAGUUGCAAUUUUAUUUUAAAGAUGUGACUCUUUGGGAUGUUCCAUGUAUAGUAAGUAUAAGUUGACUUUUUAAUCACAAAAUAAUACAUCCAUUUUCUAAAAUUAAAAUAAUAUGGUUUAUCAGCUAUUGCUUUAUUCAGAUAGUUUGCAGACUAUCCAUUCUCAGUUUAAUUAUGGGUAUAAAACACUAGGUCUAUUUAAAACUUUGAUUCUGAUUUGUGUGCUGAAUGGAAGCAAGCAUAAGAAUAGAGAUUUAAAGAGAAAAAAUUAAAACAUAAAAACUUUGAGAAUACGUUCAAUAAAAAUUCUACAAAGUUUUCAAAAGUAAUUGCCUUCAAAUAUAUACCUGGGGGUAGGAAUGUGAGACUUGGAAAUCAUUUAUUCAUACUUUUAUUACAAUAUCUCAUGUUCCUUUCUGUUGUUGGAUGUAGUUGUCCAUAAAACAGCUUUGAGAUUUAUUUAAUAUUAUAUAUUAAAACAGAGUCAAAUUAAGGAGAUUCUUUACCACAAACAGAUUUCUGUUAGUUGUGGAUGCUAUGUUUAUUAAAAAUAGUGAGUGAUGUUAAACUUUUGAGGCGAUUUCACAUUUACAUCUGGCAAUUUGUGUAGAUAACAAUUGAAUUUGACAAGAGACAAGGGACAAUGAUAGCAAGUAACAAUGCUAACGAUGUGGGCUGGAGUGAAGAAUGUGCAGAUUUUGGUGAUGUAGUAAAGUAUCAGUAAUGAAAUUCCUGGUGGCUGGUACCAGUACACCUUGGAAAACUAUCAAUUUCAGGAAACUUUAGAAGAGAUCUUGUGGUACCCUUUACCCUGUUGUGAUGGGUGGUGUUUAAUAUUGAUUUUAUAUAGUUUAUCUGUGUAGAAAGAUUCUUUCAUAGUAUGAGUGACAACUGUAUCCAAAAGUUCUUGCUUUCAAAGUCGUGCUCUGAUAUAGAACUGUGAAUCAAUUAAAAUAGAAAUAAUCUCUGAGUAAAAUAAGCUUAGCUCAUCUCUAGAAAAUUGAGAAAGGCAAGAAAUCUGGAUAUUUCUCAAAUCAAAAGAAAGAACAACAGUCUGAAAAGGCAGACUUCUAAAAAUUGAGCCUUGGGGGACAUGGCUUAAAAGAUGGAUUUUUUAUCAAUUUGUCUAUUAGAAAAGAUAUGUAUGAUACUUGAAUUUAUGCCAGAAGUAAACCUGGGAGGAUUUGUUAAGACAGUAUUUCCUGAUAUAAAGUAUUGACACUAAGAGUUUAGUUUUUCCCAUUCACUGUAAUUGAUUUAGAUUUUAGAGGGGAAGGCUAUUUGUUAGUUAAACAUGAUAAAGAUAGAGAAGAUUGACAUGUUUCUCCUUGUCUAACUUGGCCUUUAUUUCCAAAUACAUAACAUUCCCACUUGAUAAUUUCUUUGCUUUUAAUAUGAUUAUUUUCCAUCCCUAUAUCCACAUGGAAUACAAAGUUUCAAAAGUCUUUGCUAAGCUCAUAGUAAAUUCAUAUGAUAUUUAAUUGUCACUAUAAAUUUCUAUUUCAGAUCUAGUUCUUUGGUAUGUAAUAUAACUUCCAUGUUUCCCAUAUGAAGUCCUGGCAACACAUAGAAUCCAAGUAACUUCUCCAUGGACACCCAGAUAAUAAUUGGAACCCAUUUUAUAUGCCCUUGUUGGGUGUUUUCUUUCUAAUGCGUGACACUAAAACUUCACUAAGUGUUGAAGCUUUUCUCACAACAUUAUUCUUCCUAUUGUCUAACACUAGUUCUUGUAUUUUUCAUACUAUUCAGUGAUAUUCUUCCCCAAUUAAACUUUUCAAAAACUCUUGUAUUGUAUAUAUAGACGUGAAUAUAUCAACAGAUUCCAAAGGUCUCUAGUCUGCUUGUACUAAGGAUUUUUUAAAUAUUGGAAAAUUUUAUAGGCUAUGUUAAUAUAGAAACAGAAAUGAAUCAUAAUUAAAGGAAUAACUUGAUAGUUUACCCUAGUUGAAAAUAUUUUAGUAAAACAAGGGAAAUGUUAAUCACAAUUACAUCAAUUCAAUUUAAUAAGCUUCCAAAUGCAAAUGUUGACUAAAACGUUGGAUACAAAAAUAUUUGUCAUGCAGUAUAUUCAAUGAAAAAUUUAAAGUAACAUUACUAAAUAACAGUGAUCCCAUGAUGUUCUCAUACCAAAUAAUGGAAAUAAAAUCACAUUUUCAUAUACAAUUUAAAAUUAUAUUUACUUUUACUUCACUUUUUAAAUGUUCAAAGCUAUCUUGUUGAAUAAAGAAGGACAGAUCAGCUCUUGGAUCAGAACAGAAUCAAAGUAAAAUUCUCAGUUUUACAAAACCCUUGUCCACUUCUGUUGUGAUCUUUAUGAAAAUUGCAUGGUGAUCUGCCUCUGACACAUCUGGGUUACUCGUAAUGCUAACCAUUUCAGGGUGUGAGAAGGAGAUUUUUCACUGUGGGUUCACCCAACUUAUCAAUCAUGAAGCAUGCUCCUUAUACAUAAGUUGCUUAACAACAAGGAUACAUUCUGAGAAACACAUCCUUAGGCAAUUUUGUCAUUGUAGAAACAACAUAAAAUGUACUUACAGAAACCUACAUGGUAUAGGCUACUACACACCUAGGCUGUAUGGCAGUCUACUCCUUCUAGGCUAGAAACCUGUACAGCAUGUUACUAUACUGAAUAAUGUAGCCACUGUAGCACAAAGGUAAGUAAUUAUGUAUCUAAAUACAUCUAAAUAUAGAAAAGGUAUAGUAGGAAUACCUAUUACAAGUUUAAGGGGCCAUCACUGUAUAUGCAGCCUGUCGCUGAUAGAUAUACCGUUAUGUGCCAUAUGACUACCAAUCAGCACUCUGUCACAGCAGUGAGGGUUCACUAGAAAAAGUGUUGUAACUAUCUUUGUUUUAAAUUCAUCAAAACAGAAAGUUGACAUCCUUUUGACCAUUUAAUCUCCAUCAAAAGGUUUUCCUAUUUUAUUAAUUAUAAACAAUAACUGUAAAUAACUAUGUUCAUUGUUUUUCUCAAGUUUUUAAAAAAUAUUGUAGAUAAAAUCCCAAGAUAGGUAGGUAGAUAAACAGACAGACAGACUGGCUUUUUAAAAUCUAUUUUGGUGCUCAAAUGAAAAUAAUCCAGUGGAAAAAUUGGCUCUGAGAAGCCCAACAUAAAAUAAUCAAUAUUUUGUCCAAAGAAAAAUCUUUUAUGGAUUCACGUUAUUUGGUCAAGAACAAAAUACUUUAAAAUGUGUAAAAGAUAGAUUUUAAUCUUAAUACCAGCUAAUUAAGCUUUUUCUGUACAAUAUACAGUUUUAAGUUAACAGUAAUUAAUAUAGCCAGCUUGGAACCUCAGGAAGCUAAAGCCAGAAAGUGCUUUUUGGUUCACUCGAGAGGAUGUGGUUUGAUUGCUGGCGCCAGUAAACAGGUUGGGAAUUGUCAACAUUGUAAUUAGCAGCAAGUUUCUGGAUUCUCUGCCUGCCAGACUAGUGGGCUGAUGCUUGGAGCAGUUGCCCCAGUGGGGAGAGGGAAAAACAAAGGAAGGGAAUUUGAGCAACCUUGGCAGGCUCUGUCAGCAUAUGCCACUGGACCAAUGUUUUUCUUGGCAAAGGUCUAUUUUAAGACAUCUAGCAGUGGUUUCCACAAAAUAUGAAACUCACCAUAGCAACCAAAAUGGCAAGCGUCUCUAGGAACCUUUCCUUGAUUGGGUAUCAGGUCAAACUGUUCAAAGUGGUAUUGCCUUAUGUGCAGUGUGCUCUGUACUGUGCACAAUGUGGUUAUUAACAAUACAAUUAAAAGAGUUAAAAUCUGUUUUGGCAGCAAUCCUUAAAUACUCUGCCUCUGCUGAAAAGCCUUCAAAGAAUAAGGUUAUGCAAAUCUUAUUAACCCUUUGUGUAGUACAAAUAGAAAAGAAAUGUCAAUCUUAAUUCCACCAAGCAUCCAAUCUUCACUGCUUACUUAAAUGAUAAUUUCAAUCUAGUUUUCUUAAUUCCAAGCCAUGUGAUUUUUAUGGAGAAAGGCUGUCAUAGAUUUUAAAACCGUAUUUGCAGUGACUAUAAGAUGAGGACAUCAGUAAAGUUUAUAGGUAAUUUAUAAUCCAACUGAACAAAAAUUAGACUAUCUUUUUAAACCUACCUAAUAAAAGUUCGUAUUAUAUCUCUAUAGACACAUAUGUAAAAUUUUACUGUCUUAGAGUAUGAUCUAAAAUAUACAACAUAUAUGCUCUGAGUAGUCACAGGAUAAAUACUGACCCACCUAUUUUGUUGCAAAAGCACGAUAACAAACCCUUUUGCUAUUUUUUUAAAGCAGCUCUGUAAUAAAUUAAUUUUUCUUUCUAGUGAAAAAAAAGUUCAUGGUUGCUGAGCAUUGCUAAAAUAUACACGUUAAUUUCUCCAAAAUAAGUGGUUGGAGUCAUAUCACAGAUAUUCUUACUGUCACUCCCUAUCUUUGCUAAAAUGUGAGGAGGAGUUUCAAAAAGAUAAACAGGAUACAGAAAGACAAACAAAAUAGCUUUCUUUACUGUUUAAAAAAAGUCCUCAAAUGGAUCAAUGUGCUAUAUUAAGCAGUUGCCACGUGGUGAUUUCUGCAGGUGGAUUAUCAAAAGUGCACGAAAAUGGCUGUGUAGAUCUGGCACCCAGGUGUCUGGUGUAGCAUUUAGCGGACUCUUUUGUGGGGAGAAGGAUUACUCAUUUGUUGGAGAGAGUUCAGUUCUCUAAUCCUCCUCCACAACAGAAUCCAUGUUGGAGUGAACAAGCAACACGAUUCUUAUCCACUCUCUCUAGACUCUGAGGAAUGCUCCACAAUUAUUUAUUAUUUUCACUGGAAUUAGAUGCCUACAGGUGGCCCCAUAAUGUGCCUCCAGGCAUACAACCUGCUGUAAAUUUUUAAGUUACAUUAACUCAGCAGUAUGUUGUCUUAUAACGACAGUUCAUUCAGUUUAUGGGGAAAGGGAAGGAAGCAGAAAGGCAGUCUUUCGUGUUAAGCAUCAUUACAGCUCUUUGCCUGUUCUUUCUUUGAAGUUGGUAAACGAUAUUUGGCAGAAGCAACACUCCUGGAGUGCUGGUGUGCUGGUGUAGGCUAUGUCUCCUGAUAGAUUCAGAAAGGAGGUCACAGCCUCCAGGCCUCUGUAUCAUAUCCCAGGGCCAGAUAUGUUCAUGGGUGUCGGUAUUGAAAACAGAGGCAGAGCAGUAGGACUUUUUCUUUUUUCAUUCUUUUUUCUCUGUUUCCCUUUCUUUUUGUCCCUCCCUCCUUCCCUUCCUCUCUCUCUUCCCUCUUUUUCUCCCUUUCUUUCUUUCUUGGGUCUUUAAGUGACUUCUAUUACUCAAGUGUUUUGUCAUUAGUGGUCUUUCAUAUUAUGUCAGAAAAAAAAUCAGUUUAGCUUUACUGAGAUCGUUGGGCUCAUGAUGCUAUUACAAUUUCACCCCAUCACACACAUCCUAUAUUCUGCAAUUGUUUUUUCCUGAGUAUAUGGGUUACCCUCAGUGAGAGAAGGAGGGAACUGCUUCAUAACUUUUGGUCAUUGAGUUUUAUGCCCAUCCUUUCUUUGUAAUGGUGCAGUUGUCACUGAUGGAUACAGUUAAUUCCCUUGCAUAUUUUGGGGUACAAUUCUCAGAGCUGAUGAAAAAACAAAGAUAAUAUUUGAAUUAAUGUACUUUAGGAGUCAAAAUUAGUGGAAACAUUUUCAGGGGCAAGACACAAGUCUAUUUAAGCCUCAGAAAUCCUAGUACUGGGUUAUAAAACUCCUUCUUACAGCAAUAAACAGAGUAAUAUCUGUCUCCCACCAAUCUAUUCUCGUUACACCUUUAGCUUAUAUUACAAGUAACAAUCAUGAUGUGUAUGUUUUAAAUAUAUAUUUUAUAUGUACAAAGUCAUAUUAUUAAAAAGUACACAAAACUUUUUAAAUGUUAAAACAUUUUUAUUGAAAUUCCUGUAUCACAGACAUAGGCAAACUUAGUAGCCUAAGGCCAUUUGGACACUUGCAAAGUUAUCUGCCUUAAUACAUGUACAACUAGACCAGCCCAUCUUUCAUUUUAUAGCAAGGGAUGAACUUGCUGAGAAAAAGCAACUUGUAUAUUCAAAAGAACUAGGAUGUCUUUCAGAAUAAGUCAUUAAAUAUCCAUUACGCAUGUACUAUUUAUGAAGUGUGUGUUCAGGUCUGUCAACAUUUUUUAGGGUCCUACUAUGCACCUGGUAUUCUUCUAACUGCAGGGGCUACCAAGGAAUAAUGAACAGACCCCCUUGAAGCCUCCAUGAUGUACAAGACCUCUUACAAUUCAGGCUGUUAGAGCCUUUGUGGGGAAGUCAAAGGAAUGUAAAGCAGAAUCCUCCUUUCAAGGAGCUGACUAGGAUGUGGUUAAUAUUAAAUAUUAAACUGUAUGAAAGUGGUUGUUUCUACAAGCCCUUACUAUUGUCCCUUCACCAGAAAAUACUUACAUGUCACAGAUAUAAUAAUAAGUCCUUUCUAGAAAUGGAUUUGUCUUCUCUUUUUUCCCUUAAAGUAUGGAAAGUCUUUCAGAACUGAGUAGACUAAGGAAGCACCAGUUUGGAAAAGAAUAAUAUACAUACUUUUUCACAUCAAAGCAAUAGUUACUGUAUAACCAAUUCUAAGUUAUAUAACACCAUUUAUAAUGACACAUAAUUAUAUUAUCCCAGGACAAAUUAUUCCUGUAUCCAUAGUUAUCAGAGAAUAUGAUUUAGAUAUUGUAAAAUGAUAGUGCUUACAUGUAAUUUCCAAAUUCAUUAAUAUUAGAUUUUAGAGUCAAUAAAUGUCCUUUGAGAACAUGAUGAUAGGCAUUAUAAAAGAAAUUGCUGAACACACUAUGUUAUACUUCAGAAAGUGGUUCUCAAAAUGGGGCCUUCUAGUAGUGGCCUGAGUGACACCUGGGAACUUGUUAAAAAUGCCUGUUCUCAGACCACCUAACAGGCCCACUGAAUAAAAAACUCUGAACCCUAAUCUGAGUUUUAACAAGCCCAAUUCUGAUGCCUGCGAGAAUUUGAGAACCAUUGCUUCCUACUGAUUUUUUAAAAAUCACAAAGUCAGGUUCUAUGCAACACUGACCCCACGCUGACCCAAUUUAGGCUCUCUUGUAGAUUUAAAGUUGCAAGUUAUUAUUAAUAAAUAAACCAGAUAUUUUAAAUUAAAAAUUAUGACUUUGUCUGGUAAAUUCUACCUUUGUGAAAUAUUUUAAUCCCUCCAAAGAUUAUAUUUCAGCUUAAUUUUAUAAAAGGCAUACAAUAUUGAAUAAGAUCUUUAGAUUUUGUGUGUGUGUGUUAUUGUCUCAUGGAUUAUUAUUGGAAGUUUUCUCAUUCAUCUAUGACACAAAUAAUUUUUAAAUUCCCAUGGAAGGGAAUUGCCCUGACAAAAUUAUUUGAGCACUUAUAAAUUGUUCCAGCAUUACAAUAGCAUAAAAUAAGUUUCCUAAAAUCUGUAUUGGAACUGUAUUUAAUAAAAAUUUACUUAGAACAUAGGUGAUUAUAUAAUAGUAAAAAUGAAUGUUAUUGGUUAAGCAGUUAGAUUAUAUAGGUUCUCAUUAUGCCAACUGGAAAUUGUUUUACAGAACUACAAUAUGUUCUUACUUCAAACCACAGCUUUUUAUUGAAGCUUUCAUAAAAACAUUAGAAAUUCAAGCCUGGACUGUUUAAAACGCAGCUCUAAAAUUUAGUGAAUUGUUUCUUGUUUAGUGCUUUAAAUUAAAAUAUAAAAGAACAACUGUUAAGGCCAUAUCAUUAUGGAUUGUAAGACCUAGGCUAGUCCUUUGACCCUUAAAUGUUAGCUUUUGUGUUUAACAAAAAAUAUAAUAUCAAGCCACCUUGAAUUUAACACUGAAGUAACUGGCUGACAAUGUCAAUGGGCUUUUUCUCAGUCCAAAGUCUUCCUUACAUUAAUGAAACAUCUUGUUUGCUUAUGUCAAUGCAUGAACUUAGUCAUAUACAUUACAGGAUGCCAGGAUAUAACAAAGAAUUAAUAAUAUUUUUUAUUAAAAGUGCAGCUUUGGGGGGGUUUCUCUUUGUUUGAAUCCCCCCCUCCCUCUGUGUCUGUCUGGGGGAGCUGUUUUCUUUUUCCUUUCUUCUUUCUUGCCUAUUAAACUUUUCACUCAAAAAAAACAAAAAAGGAAAAGUGCAGCUUUUACUAACAUGUGAACACAAAAGGUAACCUCCUGAGUAGCAAUAAAAUCACCUAAGGAAGAAUUAUGUAUGCCAUUGAAUAAUAAAUUCUGUGGUAUUUUACUUUGUAUCCCUAACACAUUGAUGUAUUCCAUAAUAUUCUGUUUUCUCAAACAGUUAUCUUUACAGUUGUUCAUUAUUCAGCUGUAUAAUAGAUCUUCCUCUCACUAAAAUUACAUUCUGAGUAUAAGCAUAGAAAUGUACAGAAUAUGAUUUUAUGUCCUUUUCACGGUAGAGGUAAGUAACACUGUCCAAACUUACAAACUUAAGAGAGUCACAGUGGGGGAACAAUUUAUGCACACCCAGUUUAGAUAGAAUGAUUGACAGGAAAUAUGUAAGAAAUUCAAGUUAUUCUUAUGGAGGGAAAAAAAGGUCCAUUAUUUUGACAGUUAACAUUUUAAGAUUAAGCACUUUGAAUUAACCAGAAAGGAAAAUAAAAGCAUUUUAGUAGGCAUAUAGUUUGAUGGAUUUAGUUAUUAAAUUAAAUAGACACUAAUUUAAAGGUUACCACUUCAACCCUUAAACAAAGAGUGUUUUGACUGUACAAAAAGAUGCAAAUAAAGUACCAAAUAGCUUAUAUUUAGGCAGAGAAGAUACUUAAAAUUCAGAAAUGUCAAAAACAGCAUAUUCUUCUCUUGCAUUUUAAUUAAAUGUUUCAGUUUAUUUAUCUUAAGUUUAUCUUAAGUUGUAUGGAGGAUUAAUUGUACUCAUUAUUUUGCUUUUAAUGGUUUACAUAUUCUUUUUUAUGUUAACAAGUGUUAUUUUAAACAUUUUAUAAAGGAAAAGUUACUUUGAAAAAAGUUGUUUAAUAUCACAAAACCCAUUGUGAUCUUUCUCAAAUGAGUUAUAGAUUUCUUUCUUUGCCUACAUCAUUUUUUUGUAUCCUGUGGGCCUAUAUCAUUGAUAAUCCCAUACAUUAUUAUAUUAAGAGCAGGAAAUCUUAUCAGAUGUGAGCUUAUUAAUUAUUGACAAUAAAACAUUAAUAGUUUAACAUUUCAGGAAAGCUCAACAUGUUUUACAAAAUUGAUUUAUUAAUAUCUCUUAGCCAUUUUAUUUACAGACUACUACCUUAUGUUAUUUAGAUUUUUUAAUAUGCCUAUAAAAGUAGAUUUAUGACAGAGAUAAUUUUAAAUUACUCAGCUAAAAAUGUAUUAUUUUAUACUUAUUGAACUCUAAUUUUACAUAAAGUUUUGUGACUUGUACUAUGUGAAAUCUUACAAUUAUAAAAGAUAAUAUUUAAUCUACUUCUAAUAAAUUUAAAAAUGCAUGACGGUUUGCAUUAGGUUAAGAAGUAUAAUCAAAAUUUUUAUUUAUAAUAGAAAACUGUUGCAGUUAUAAUUAUAUGCUAAAUCUAUACAUUUAUAAAAUAUUUAUUAAGGCAAAACUUAUAAUAAUUUUAGUUUUUAGAUACUUGGUAUAAGAGUUCACAGUUUUCCUGAAUUUUGAAUUAUAUUUCAUCUCCUAAAACUUUCAAAUAAUAUUAUUAUAAUGUACAUUUUCAUUUAAAAAAAUUGCAAUGUUUGAUCAUACAGGGAAAGAUAAUUGAAGAAAGAGUUACUAAGGAAAUAAAAGUGAAAAUACACUUUGGUCAAGUAUUAAAAUUAGCAUACUAAAAUGGAAAUUUUUAUGUAUAAGCUGUUUAUUAAAUCAAAGUAUUUCUAAUACCUUUCUUUUCUGUUCUUUCAUUUUGAUCCAUAUCAACUUUAAUGCCACAACUGGCUCACUAGUAAGUAUCAGGCAAGAUCAUAAUUUAGCACUUACCUCAAAUUACAUGAAAAUCGAAUCCAAAAAUGGCAUACUGCAACCAGGUCUACUUUCAUGUAUCAAAAUGGAUUGCUGUACAUUAUAAAUGAUACUCCCUGAUGUUUUUGCAAUGAUUCAUGAAACUAUGGGGCUGACAUUUUAGUGCAAGGAAUUCCAUAAAUGUUAAUAAAGCAGGAAAACGAAUCCCAAAGCGCUAGGUAUUAAAUAACUCUAAUCUCUUUCUACUACUAAUGCUAUUUGUAAUGCUUAAAAAAAUAUCAAAAUACAAUACAAAAUAUCUUAUACUAAAUGAAUGGGAAUUAAAUGUUGCAAAUCAAAACUGAGCUAUGAUAAACGAUGGUCACAUGAUAAUUAAGCUUUUGCUUUCAUAUCUCUUAGUAUAACAUAACCACUUACAAAGUAUCCUAUCUUUAGGUUGAUUUAGCAUCUUAGCCUGACAUAGAAACAAUUAAAAAAUAUAAAGAAUUAUCAUGGAUAUCUUUUUGAUUUUAUGUGAUACAUUUCUUAAAAGAAACUUUGAAUCAAGUUUUAAAUUCUGUACUGAUUCAUUAGCUUUUACCCUAGUUGAUCUGGGUUUCUCAAUCUUUAGAAUGGAAUCCCUCAUCUCACAUGGAAGCCAUGUUAUUUAGUUAUAUGUAUUUAGAUUCAUUUUAAAAUGUAAAAUAAUGUUUUUAAGAUCUUUCACUUGUUAAUUAUGCUUAAUAAUUUAUUUAAAAAACUAGGCUGAUUAUGUCAAAGAUGCCACUAUUUAUUUUUAAUCAAGAGUUAAAAAUUUAGUUUGACUUAAACAAUUCUAAAAUGAUUUCCCAAAAUGUUUGGUACAUAUUGGUUAUUGUUUUCAUUUUUGCCUCUCUAAAUUUACAUGUUUACCAGUAGAAAGUACACUUACGGUAAAAAAAAAAUAUAUCAUUUUGUUUAUAUCAAUUUUUUCUGAAAGAAUUAGUUUCAUUUUUAUUUCUCUCCAUUUUUAAUAGGAGGUACGUUUAUAUGAAUUUUUUAAUUUUACUUUUAUUAUAAUACAAAAUUGCACUCAUUUAAGGAUUAAAGUUCAUAUUCUGAAAGGGCAUUUCCUUUAUUUUUAUUUUGCCCUACACAUAAUGAUUUGCUUUCUGUGUCUAGACCUAAAUGGAUAUAGAAAUUAUUUUGAAAUAAAAACAUUAGUUUUUAAUAUUUAAGUUCCUUUAGUUAUAUUUUACAGAGCUAUUUAUGUAUUAUUAAACAUUAUACAUACAUAUAUAUUUGGUUUACAUUGAUUUAUGAUUAAUUGUAUUUCCAAUCUGUCUUUAUCAUAAAUAUUAUGUGUUUUUCCCAGAGUAUCUAGUUUUAAACAAAAAGUAACCUGUCAAUGUGAAUCUUUUGGUGUAGCAUAUUUGAAAUUUUAUCUACAAAUAGAUGCAGAUGGAAGUAUACUUACUUAGUAUUUAUUAUGGUCUCAAUUUCUGUGAAUUUCAUGCUCACUUUUCCCCUUCAUUUCUUUUUGCAAAUGGCCACUUUGUCAUAUGUUUUAACUGUAGGAAGAUGAAAAACUCUAAAAGUGCUCACCAUCAGCAUAAAGUGAGACAUUUUGAGCUCUACUGUGCAAAAUGAAAGCAUAAUAUUCACUGCAAAGAAGGCUUAGAGUUCUAUUAUCCUGUCAUUUAUACUUAGAGGCACUUCAGUUUCUGGAAUAGGUUAAACAAAGGAAAUUUGGAAUGGAUGUCUCUUUAAAAUUUUGAAAAACUGGAAUCCUGAGGCUGGUAGACUACUGAAUACCUUCGACCAUCUUCCAGAUAAUAUCUGGAUGGAGGAUAAUUUGUGAUGUAAUAAACUGUAAGUGUCAAGAUACAUGAGCAUUAAAAAAGGAAGCUGAUUUUGUGAUGCCACUUAUAUCACCUCCACUAAGGGAAUAGGUCAGCACACUGCAACUGAUUUCCCAUUUCUGCAAAAUAGUACAGUUCUGCUUCAUACUCUGAAUUUGGGAUUUCCUGUUGAAGUCAAAACUAGGUCUAUGCUGUCCUGAAGGGUCAGUAACAAAAUAGGUUGUGAUUAUGGAAGCAGUAUCUCUGGACUCACUGCCAAAUCCUCCAAUCCUGGGUGUUGAUUUGACCUGUUAUAAUAGAACUUCACAGGGUGAAAUAUCUCCUCUCAAUCCUUAGUCCUGAUGGAUUCUGGGUCCAUAUGUAUGAAGGCUCUAUCUUUGAACGGAUGUCUUUGAAUCAACAAUAGAAUUGUUUUGAGAGUUUAGUGCUAGAAGAGACUUAAGUGGUCAUUUCAUAAAAUCCAACUUAUUUUAAAGAUGACAAACUGAGCUUAGAGAUAUUACAGUUUUCUUUUUCAAGUAAAAGUCCUGCUAAUAGUCAUAACUCUGAAGUCAUGGAUCAGUUCAUCACAUAUGUGGUUUGACCUAUCAAGCAUUCAUCACUACCAUCAUGAUUGUUACUACAAAAGUGAUUAUUAUUACAAAAAUAUUUCUUCCUCACCUAUAGUUUAUCCCUAAUUUCCUAUUAUUUACUUGAUCACUGGAUAUCUCAUGGAACUUAUUUAAUUUAUAAGGUGUUUUAAUGUCUUUAAUUUAAAGUAAAUGUAUUGUUCAAACGUAACAUGACAAACAUUGAAUUCUUUUUCCCUUUAUGAAACAUAGAGUCUGGAAGGACAACUCUAUGUCCAGUUAUUAAUGCUAAUACGUAUACUAACAUUAAAAAUAACUGAUUUUCAAGUUCAGUGCAUCUACUUGUUGGCAUUCACAUGAUGGCACGGUCUCCUCCUUUUCUGUGCAAAUCUGAUUAAGGGGUUUCUCCUGCCAUUGUUUUACAUGCAAAACUUCCGUUCCAUUUUGACAACAAUCCUCUUUACACAAGGACCUCAGGGUUGAACACUGAAAGUACCUAACCAUUACUGAAUAUUGAAUCAUGUCUUUUCACAUAAAAUUGCAAAUAUGGUUUGAGAGCCAAUUUUCAGAUUACUUUGGUUGAGUAGGACUAAUUACUUUUAAACUGGGGGCAGCCAGGGUCUGCCAAAGCAGUGCUGAAUUUUUCCAAUGUUAGGCGAGCUCUACCCAUCCAGAGAUUGUCUCAUACUGAAGUGCUGUAAGAUUAUUCAUGCUUGUAGUAAUGAUUAACUAUAAAAAUAAUGCCUAUUGCAAAAGAUCAUAAUAGCAGUAGCUAUAGUUUACUGAAUGCCUAUCAUGGGGCAGGCAUUGUGUAUAGUAUCUAUUAUUUCAUUUCAUUUCCUCCUGAAAAUAAUGUUAUGUGAGGUAUUAUUAUUUUCUAAAUGAAUAAAAAAACUGAGUUUCCAGACGAGUCUGAUAAAAACAUCAGUUUGCAAAGUAGAAUUGAGUUCUAUUCCUGCUAUCUGAAAUGUGACCACAGGAUCAAAACUUAGUACGUCAUUUCCCUCCUCUGCAGAAUUAGGUGACAGAACUAGCUUUAACUUUCUGUGAUUUUAAAAAGCUCAAAGCAGUUUAUUAUUUUUUUGAGAAAAGGGAAAAAAUGUUAAAGCCUUCAUAGUAACAGUAUCACUGAACAGUAUUUAUCUGGUAUUUUCCACAUUCUCAUCUGAUUUCAUGGCUUCAAACACAGAACAAAAUCCUCAUUAAUAUAAAAGGAAGUCCAUAUUCUGACCAGAUCAGUGAAGCACAGAAAAAGAUAUGAAAUUCACUUACAAUGGAUCAGACUCUUACAAAGUUUGAAUUUAGCAACAUGCAUUUAUUGUGCUGUGUAUAUGAAAAAUUAAAUGGAUGAUGUGAAGCAAGGUGGGAAUCUAGUACAAGCAUAAAGGAUAUUUACAGUAUGUGUGAUGAAGCAUAAAAAUACAUUUUUCUCCUUCAAAAAGCAAAAUGUUGGAUAUAUUCCUAUAAAACACCUUAGGCUAUAUCAAGAACACUAUACUUAAAUACUUAAGUACAUUUACAUACUAUUUAUGUAAAUGUAUUGACUUAAUCAUAGCAGCUCUAGGGAUUCAUGAUAAGCUGUGAAAAUUGUCUAUAAAAGAUAAGUGAAUGACCCUUUAAAAUAGAAUAAAAAUUAAUUAUAGCACACCAGCAAUUUUAAGCACAUAUACAUACCAUUUUGAAAAUCUGUGCUUUUGCAAUGUUAGCAGUUCCUUAUAUAGUUCUCAGUGAUGCAUCCACAUCACAUAUACAGUCUCCUAAACAUAUUGUAUUUUUCUUAGAACAUCAAACAGCAUUAUGUCCCGUGUCAAUUUUGUAAUAUUUUGAUAGAACAAAAUAUGGUAUAGUAAGCUGACAUAUUUUCCUUCAUUGAAGUAUUCUUUUGUGUGUAAACUCUUUACAGAUUUUUCUCACCAUUUUCUCCUUUUCUAAAGUUGACAAAAAUGUAAAUGAUGGCAAAAUGGAAAGAAUUAUCACUUCUUUCCAAAAUUAUUACUCUGUGCUUUCAUAUUGCUAUUGUGUAAAUAUUGACAUAAUUUCACAAUUGUUGUAUCUGAAAUAAUAAUAAAUAAUUGCUCCCACUUGGAAAAGAAUGAUUUUUUUUCAAGCACUUAUAUCAAUAUGUCACUUACCCAUUGUGAGCAAGUAAGAAUUGUGGCAAUGAAAGGUAUGGUUAAGUUUUUUUCACUCAUUUGUUUAUUUAACAUGUAUUUAUUGAGCUUUACUAUUUGCCAGGCACUAUGGAAGGCACAGAACGGCAUUGCUAAAAGAAAAAAGACAAAGUUGAUACCUACAUGAAGCUUACAGUAUGAUGAGAGCGAUGAAAAA